ACCCUGUAAUUAAAGCAGAAGUAAACAGUAAAAGAAUAUCAAAUUGCAGCUCGCUUCAGGAAUAGAUGCCCAAAUGAAGCUGCUGCUUGUCCUAACCUGUGCUUUGAGACAGAAGGGCCACCUCUCUGGGGAGCACUCCAACAGGUCCCCAGAUGUGACACAUUACGAUUAAGACCCGAGGAUUUGGAGCUCAGAGAGGAGAAAAGCUAUGUGAUGUGCCUACUCCCCCUUUUCCUUCUGCCAUGAAGCUUCCUGAGGCCUUCCAAGUAGCAGAUGCCACUAUGCUGCAGAACUGAGACUUGAAGGACAUUCUGCUAAAAUUCUAGAGACCAGAGCCAGGGCAACUCUUCUCUGGAGUGCCAGCACCACUGUCGGCACCAUCACUAUGGCUGUUGACCACCACUAUUAUGGCAGUCAGCCACCACCAAGAUCACCGACUAAUCUUCUUCUACUCUCUUAGCCACCUAUUAGUUGAUUAAACCAGACCAAGGAUUAAAAGUUUAUGGAGCAGGAACUCUGUCUGUUUUAAUCAAUGUUGAAUACCCAGUGCUUAGCACAAUGCUUAUCACAUAGUAGAUGCUCAAUAAAUACGUAUCAAAUGAAUGAGUAUUUCUCUGAUCUAUGGAGUGUCUGUUUUUACUACUGAUUUAUUUACUCAGUGCUUAGCACAAUGUUUGUCACAUA